AAGCCCAGAAGGCGGCGGACACUCGCAUAAAGUCACGCAGUAGUACUCGGAGCCCGGGGUAGAACCUGGACUUCAAAUCUCUGCACUCCCGGCCGGGUGGUGGGCGCAUAUCCUGGGUAGCCUCUAGGAAGCGCUAGACACAUAGGGAUAAGCAUUCCUGUUUUUCUGCUGAAACUGAGGAAACUGAGGCUCUGAGAGAGUAGCCGACUCAGU
rnacentral:lncRNA from 10 species